rnacentral:rRNA from 1 species
UACGAAGGGGGGCUAGCGUUGCUCGGAAUCACUGGGCGUAAAGCGCACGUAGGCGGCUUUCUAAGUCAGGGGUGAAAUCCUGGAGCUCAACUCCAGAACUGCCUUUGAUACUGGAGAGCUUGAGUCCGGAAGAGGUGAGUGGAACUCCGAGUGUAGAGGUGAAAUUCGUAGAUAUUCGGAAGAACACCAGUGGCGAAGGCGGCUCACUGGUCCGGUACUGACGCUGAGGUGCGAAAGCGUGGGGAGCGAACAGG